GUGCUCACUUUGGCGGCACAUGUACUAAAAUUGGAAAUGAUACAGAGAAGAUUAGCAUGGCCCCUGCCUAAGGACAACAAAAAAUAAAAAAUAGAUAAAUAAAAAUAAA